GACAAAUUUUCAAGAAGGCAGGCCUGGUUGACAGUGACUGAAUGACCCAUCCAAGCUGUGGAAGAAUUCCAGAGGAACUUUCAAGCCAGCAAACUCACCAAUACUGCUAGGAACCUGAUAGACUUUCAAGUCUUUGUAUGUAUGCGUGUGUGACUGCUUUACCAUUUAACAUCUCUCUUCUUGGUC